rnacentral:rRNA from 1 species
GACGAACGCUGGCGGCGUGCUUAACACAUGCAAGUCGAACGGAAAGGCCUCUUUCUGGGGGUACGCGAGUGUCGAACGGGUGAGUAACACGUGAGUGACCUGCCCUUUACUUUGGGGUAACUUCAGGGAACUGGGGCGAUUACCCGGUAUGAGCUCCUGCUGCGUGGUGGGGGGUGGGAAGUUUCGGGGGUGGGGGGUGGACUCGCGGCGUAUCAGCUUUGUGGGGUGGUGGUGGCAUAACAAGGCUUUGACGGGUAGCCGGACCGAGAGGGUGAGCGGCCACAGUGGGACUGAGAUACGGCCCAGACUCCUACGGGAGGCAGCAGUGGGGAAUAUUGCAAAAUGGGUGGAAGCCUGAUGCAGCAACGCCGUGUGCGGGAUGACGGCCUUCGGGUUGGAAACCGCUUUCGCUCAUGACGAAGCUUUGUGUGACGGUAGUGGGUAAAGAAGCACCGGCUAACUACGUG